AGUGAACGCUGGCGGUAGGCCUAACACAUGCAAGUCGAACGGCAGCACAAUAAGAGCUUGCUCUUACGGGUGGCGAGUGGCGGACGGGUGAGGAAUACAUCGGAAUCUACUUUUUCGUGGGGGAUAACGUAGGGAAACUUACGAUAAUACCGCAUACGACCUACGGGUGAAAGCAGGGGAUCUUCGGACCUUGCGCGAUUGAAUGAGCCGAUGUCGGAUUAGCUAGUUGGCGGGGUAAAGGCCCACCAAGGCGACGAUCCGUAGCUGGUCUGAGAGGAUGAUCAGCCACACUGGAACUGAGACACGGUCCAGACUCCUACGGGAGGCAGCAGUGGGGAAUCUUGCACAAUGGGCGCAAGCCUGAUCCAGCCAUACCGCGUGGGUGAAGAAGGCCUUCGGGUUGUAAAGCCCUUUUGUUGGGAAAGAAAAGCAGCAGGUUAAUACCCCGCUGUUCUGACGGUACCCAAAGAAUAAGCACCGGCUAACUUCGUG
rnacentral:rRNA from 1 species